GUCACUUUUAGAAUAAGUGCGAUGUGGUGCUGAGAAGAAUUUAUAUUCUGUCGAUUUGGAAUAGAGAGAUCUGUAGAUGUAUAUUAGGUCUGCUUGGGCCAGAGCUGAGUUCAAGUCCUGAAUAUCCUUGUUAAUUUUCUGUCUCAUUGAAUCUGACUAAUAUUGACAGUGGGGUGUUAAGUUCUCCCACUAUUAUUGUGUGGGAGUCUAAGUCUCUUUGUAGGUAUCUAAGAACUUGCUUUAUGAAUCUGGGUGCUCCUGUAUUGGGUUCAUAUAUACUUAGGAUAGUUAACUCUUCUUGUUGCAUUGAAACUUUUACCAUUAUGUAAUGCCCUUCUUUGUCUUUUUUGAUCUUUGUUGGAUUAAAGUCUAUUUUCUCAGAGACUAGGAUUGCAGCCCCUGCUUUUUUUUUUCUUUUGCUUUCCAUUUGCUUGGUAAAUAUUCCUCCAUCCCUUUAUUUUGAUCCUAUGUGUGUCUUUGCACAUGAGAUGUGUCUCCUGAAUACAGCACAUUAAUGGAUCUUGACUGUUUAUCCAAUUUGCCAGUCUACGUCUUUUAAUUGGGGCAUUUAGCCCGUUUACAUUUAAGGUUAUAUUGUUACAUGUGAAUUUGAUCUUGUCAUUAUGAUGUUAGCUGGUUAUUUUGCCCAUUAGUUGAGGCAGUUUCUUCCUAGUGUCAAUGGUCUUUACAUUUUGGUAAGGUUUCGCAGUGGCUGGUACUGUUUUUUCCUUUCCAUGUUUAGUGCUUCCUUAAGGAGCUCUUAUAAUGUAUGUCUGGUGGUGACAAAAUCCCUCAGCAUUUGCUUCUCUGCAAAGGAUUUUAUUUCUCCUUCGCUUAUGAAGCUUAGUUUGGCUGGUUAUGAAAUUCUUGGUUGAAAAUUCUUUUCUUUAAGAAUGUUGAAUAUUGGCCCCCGCUAUCUUCUGGCUUGUAGGGUUUCUGCUGAGAGAUUCACUGUUAGUCUGAUGGGCUUCCCUUUGUGGGUAACCCGACUUUUCUCUCUGGCUGCCCUUAACAUUUUUUCCUUCAUUUCAACCUUGGUGAAUCUGAAGAUUAUGUGUCUUGGCGUUGCUCUUCUCGAGGAGUAUAUUUGUGGUGUUCUCUGUAUUUCCUGAAUUUGAAUGUUGGCCUUUCUUGCUAGGUUGGGGAAGUUCUGUAUAAUAUCCUGAAGAGUGUUUUCCACCUUGGUUCCAUUCUCCCCAUCACUUUCAGGUACACCAAUCAAACGUAGGUUUGGUCUUUUCACAUAGUCCCAUAUUUCUUGGAGGCUUAGUUUGUUCCUUUUCAUUCUUUUUUCUGUAAUCUUCUCUUCACACUUUAUUUCAUUAAGUUGAUCUUCAUUCUCUUGAAGAUUGAUUUCCUCUGCUUGAUCGAUUUGGCUAUUUAUACUUGUAUAUGCUUCACGAAGUUCUUGUGUUGAGAUUUUCAGCUCCAUCAGGUCAUUUAUAUUCUUCUUUAAACUGGUUAUUCUAACUAGCAGUUCCUGUAACCUUUUACCCGUGUUCUUAGCUUCCUGGCAUUGGGUUAGAACAUGCUCCUUUAGCUGGAAGGAGUUUGUUAUUACCCCCCUUCGAAGCCUACUUCUGUCAAUUUGUGAAACUCAUUCUCCAUCCAGUUUUGUUCCCUUGCUGGUGAGGAACUGUGAUCCUUUGGAGGAGAAGAGGCAUUCGGUUUUUGGAAUUUUCCACUUUUUGUGCUGGAUUUUCCCUCAUCUUUGUGGAUUUAUCUACCUUUGGUCUUUGAUGUUGGUGACCUUCUGAUGGUGUUUUUGUGUGGGCGUCGUUCUGUGGAUGUUGAUGCUAUUGCUUUCUGCUUGUUAGUUUUCCUUCUAACAUUCAGGUCCCUCUGCUGCAGGUCUACUGGAGUUUGCUGGAGGUCUACUCCAGACCCUGUUUGCCCAGGUAUCACCAGCAGAGGCUGCAGAACAGGAAAGUUUGCUGCCUGCCCUCUCCUCUGGAAGCUUCAUCCCAGAGGGGCACCCGCCAGACACCAGACAGGGUCUGCUGCCCAGACUGCAGUGCAGUAGUAUGAUCACGGUUCACAACAGGCUUGACCCCCCACACUGAAUUGAUCCUCCCACUUCAGCCUCCAGAAUAGCUGGGACUACAGGCAUGUACCACCAUACCUGGCUAAUUUUUAAUUUUUUUGUAGAGUUGAGUUCUCACUAUGUUGCUGAUAUGGUUUCGCUCUGUGUCUCCACCAAAAUCUCAUCUCGAAUUGUAAUCCCCAGUGUCGGGGGAGGGACCUGCUGGGAGGUGAUUGAUCAUGGGGGUGAAUUUCUCUCUUGCUAUUCUUGUGAUAGGGAGUGAGUUCUCAUGAGAUCUGGUUGUUUAAAAGUGUGAAGCACUUCCCCCUUCAUGCUCUCUCUCUCCUACUGUCAUGUGAAAAUGUGCUUGCUUCCCCUUUGCCCUUCUGCCAUGAUUGUAAGUUUUCUGAGUCUUUCCCAGCCAUGUCUUCUGCAUGGCCUGUGGAACUGUGGGUCAAUUAAACUUCUUUUCUUUAUAAAUUACCCAGUCUCAGGUAGUUCUUUAUAACAAUGUGAGAGUGGACUAACAUAGUUGCCCAAGUUGGUCUUGAACUUCUGGGCCCAAGUCAUCCUCCUGGCAGAGCCUUCCAAAGUGCUGGGAUAUGUGAGCCACUGCCCCUGGC
rnacentral:lncRNA from 10 species